rnacentral:rRNA from 1 species
UGGGGAAUUGUUCGCAAUGGGCGCAAGCCUGACGACGCAACGCCGCGUGGAGGACGAAGAUCUUCGGGUCGUAAACUCCUGUCGAGCGGGAAGAAACCCGCGGGGGUGAAUAAUCCCUGCGGCUGACGGUACCGCUAAAGGAAGCCCCGGCUAACUCCGUGCCAGCAGCCGCGGUAAUACGGGGGGGGCAAGCGUUGUUCGGAAUUACUGGGCGUAAAGGGCUCGUAGGCGGCCAACUAAGUCGGAUGUGAAAUCCCCAGGCUCAACCUGGGAACUGCAUCCGAUACUGGAUGGCUUGAAUCCGGGAGAGGGAUGCAGAAUUCCAGGUGUAGCGGUGAAAUGCGUAGAUAUCUGGAGGAAUACCGGUGGCGAAGGCGGCAUCCUGGACCGGCAUUGACGCUGAGGAGCGAAAGCCAGGGGAGCAAACGGGAUUAGAUACCCCGGUAGUCCUGGCCCUAAACGAUGAAUGCUUGGUGUGACGGGUAUCGAUCCCUGUCGUGCCGGAGCUAACG